rnacentral:tRNA from 1 species
UCCGGUGGUGGUUCGGCUGCGGCCGUCGCCGCCUUCGAGGCGCCGCUGGCGCUCGGCACCGACACCGGCGGCUCGAUCCGCCAGCCGGGU